AACUUAAGCAUAUCAAUAAGCGGAGGAAAAGAAACUAACAAGGAUUCCCCUAGUAACUGCGAGUGAAGCGGGAAAAGCUCAAAUUUAAAAUCUGGCGGUCUUUGGCCGUUCGAGUUGUAAUUUAGAGAAGCGUCUUCCGCGCUGGACCGUGCACAAGUCUCCUGGAACGGAGCGUCAUAGAGGGUGAGAAUCCCGUCUUUGGCACGGACCCCCCAGUGCUUCUGUGAUGCGCUCUCAAAGAGUCGAGUUGUUUGGGAAUGCAGCUCAAAAUGGGUGGUGAACUCCAUCUAAAGCUAAAUAUUGGCGAGAGACCGAUAGCGAACAAGUACCGUGAGGGAAAGAUGAAAAGCACUUUGGAAAGAGAGUGAAACAGUACGUGAAAUUGUUGAAAGGGAAACGCUUGAAGUCAGUCGCGUCGAUCGAGACUCAGCCUUGCCUUGGCUUGGUGUACUUCUCGACCGACGGGCCAGCAUCAAUUUUGCCUCUCGGAUAAUGGCAAGGGAAAGGUGGCACCCUUACGGGUGUGUUAUAGUCUCCUGUCGCAUGCGAGGGGUGGGAUUGAGGAACUCAGCACGCGCCUUUCAGGUGUCGGGGCUUCGGCCCACGUUACGUGCUUAGGAUGUUGGCGUAAUGGCUUUAAACGACCCGUCUUGAAACACGGACCAAGGAGUCUAACAUGCCCGCGAGUGUUCGGGUGGAAAACCCGUGCGCGAAAUGAAAGUGAAAGUUGGGACCUCUGUCGUGGAGGGCACCGACGCCCGGACCAGACCUUCUGUGACGGCUCUGCGGUAGAGCGUGCAUGUUGGGACCCGAAAGAUGGUGAACUAUGCCUGAAUAGGGUGAAGCCAGAGGAAACUCUGGUGGAGGCUCGUAGCGAUUCUGACGUGCAAAUCGAUCGUCAAAUUUGGGUAUAGGGGCGAAAGACUAAUCGAACC
rnacentral:rRNA from 1 species